AUUAUACUCCCUCCGUCCCAAAUUACUUGUCUUAGAUUUGUCUAGAUACAGGUGUAUCCAACACUAAACGUGUCUAGAUACAUCCAUAUCUAGACAAAUCUAAGACAAGUAAUUUGGGACAAAGGUGAUAUUUC
rfam:Triticum urartu cultivar G1812 contig293860, whole genome shotgun sequence.